GAUGAACGCUGGCGGCGCGCCUAACACAUGCAAGUCGAACGGUUAAAGCACCUUUUAGGUGUGUAUAAAGUGGCGAACGGCUGAGUAACACGUGGGCAACCUGCCCUCCUCUUGGGGAUAGCCUCGGGAAACCGAGGAUAAUACCCGAUACUUCAAUGUGGCCGCAUGACGACAUUGAGAAAGCUUUUGCGGAGAAGGAUGGGCCCGCGGCCUGUUAGCUUGUUGGUGGGGUAGAGGCCUACCAAGGCAAUGAUGGGUAGCUGGGUUGAGAGACCGACCAGCCAGAUUGGGACUGAGACACGGCCCAGACUCCUACGGGAGGCAGCAGUGGGGAAUCUUGCACAAUGGGCGAAAGCCUGAUGCAGCGACGCCGCGUGCGGGACGAAGGCCUUCGGGUUGUAAACCGCUUUCAGCAGGGACGAGGCGAUAAGCGACGGUACCUGCAGAAGAAGCCCCGGCUAACUACGUG
rnacentral:rRNA from 1 species